rnacentral:rRNA from 1 species
CUACAUGUAAGCUACCGUUUGGGGAUGAGCCCGCGUACCAUUAGCUUGUUGGUAGGGUAAUGGCCUACCAAGGCUGCGAUGGUUAGCUGGUCUGAGAGGAUGAUCAGCCACACUGGAACUGACACACGGUCCGGACUCCUACGGGAGGCAGCAGUGAGGAAUUUUGCGCAAUGGGGGAAACCCUGACGCAGCAACGCCGCGUGAGUGAUGAAGGCUUUCGGGUCGUAAAGCUCUGUCAAGUGGGAAGAAACCACAUGAUGUUAAUAUCAUCUUGUGCUGACGGUACCACUGAAGGAAGCACCGGCUAACUCCGUGCCAGCAGCCGCGGUAAUACGGGGGGUGCAAGCGUUAUUCGGAAUUACUGGGCGUAAAGAGCGCGUAGGCGGUCUUUUAAGUCAGGUGUGAAAGCCCGGGGCUCAACCCCGGAAGUGCACUUGAAACUAAGAGACUUGAGUAUGGGAGAGGGAAGUGGAAUUCCUGGUGUAGCGGUGAAAUGCGUAGAUAUCAGGAGGAACACCGGUGGCGAAGGCGACUUCCUGGACCAAUACUGACGCUGAGGCGCGAAGGCGUGGGGUGCAAACAGGAUUAGAUACCCUGGUAGUCCACGCAGUAAACGGUGAACACUAGGUGUAGCGGGUAUUGACCCCUGCUGUGCCGCAGCAAACGCAUUAAGUGUUCCGCCUGGGGAGUACGGCCGCAAGGUUAAAACUCAAAGGAAUUGACGGGGGCCCGCACAAGCGGUGGAGCAUGUGGUUUAUUCGACGUAACGCGAAGAACCUUACCUGGAUUUGACAUCCCGGGAACCUUUUUGAAAGAUUAGAGUGCCCUUCGGGGAGCCCGGUGACAGGUGCUGCAUGGCUGUCGUCAGUUCGUGUCGUGAGAUGUUGGGUUAAGUCCCGCAACGAGCGCAACCCCUUUCUUUAGUUACCAUCAUUUAGUUGGGGACUCUAAAGAUACUGCCCCGGUUAACGGGGAGGAAGGUGGGGAUGACGUCAAGUCCUCAUGGCCUUUAUGUCCAGGGCUACACACGUGCUACAAUGGGCUGUACAAAGGGUUGCCAACCUGCGAAGGUGAGCUAAUCCCAGAAAGCAGUUCGUAGUUCGGAUUGGAGUCUGCAACUCGACUCCAUGAAGCUGGAACCGCUAGUAAUCGUGGAUCAGCAUGCCACGGUGAAUACGUUCCCGGGCCUUGUACACACCGCCCGUCACACCAUGAGAGUUGGUUGUACCAGAAGUCGUUGGGCAAACCCUUCGGGGAUGCAGGCGCCUAAGGUAUGGCUGAUGAUUGGGGUGAAGUCGAAACAAGGUA